GCGACCGGCAGAGCGUCCCCCGUGGCUUGCCGCCCCAGGCACGCGCAUGGCGUGCUGGGCCUGGAGCAGCCCCUGUCCAGAGCUGAAGAGUGAAGAAUACCAUCGGUCCCGCAGUGAGACUGAGGAAAAGGAGGCCUGUCACCACCAUUCCUGCCAUCCUGCAUUCCUGGUGUCCAUCAUCCCAGAGGGCCUCCUUUCCAGCGACGAAAUCCAACAGUCGUCUGGACUCCCCAGUGCUCCUCCUCAAAGGCUCUAAAUCAGCCGGAGAGUGGAAGUUCCUGGGCAUCACACCUGAGCCGUAAACUCAAGCACCACCAUCUCGGGGCCAGGCCAGGGCGUGUGCCUUUGAACUCCCUGCUGGGAGACUCUAUGGAUACAAAGGCACAAAGACUGCAGUUUGAAAUUGUAUGAAAACACCACUGCCAUAUGACUCCAGAGGGGAUUCAUGGAGCAAUAAGGAAGCUGUAAACUUGAUGGAAUCCUGGUCAGGAAUAGCAUGAAGGAUCUUGUAAAGCACAGCACCUUCCCUUAAGUACAUUGUAUACAACUAUCAACAAAGGUCAGAUCUGAAUCCAAAUGUCAAGGUUCAGGAAAGUAGUUCCAGUUCAAUAUGCAUGAA